GAAAAGCGUUAGCUUUGAAACAAGCAAAUCAGCCUCAGUGGCGAGAUCAUCUUGUCGGCGUUAUAAUACCAGUUGAGUUAGAGUCAAAUUCAGAUUAUAGCUGGAAUCGAGAAAUUGAAAUUUUUUAAACACAAUGUUGAGCCAUUUGAAACUAUUUCGGCAAAAUGGAACGCGACAUAUGAUAUUAGAGAACGUGUAGGAAAAGAUUGGAACAUUCAUGAAAAAUUUUCUAAUUUCAAGGCUCUUUCUCAGCCUAGAGGUUAUUUGCUGCUAGAGCAUGACUUUUUUUUAAACAUCCUAUUGAACAGGAUAUUCUCUACAGUAAGUGGCCCACGAUUUCUUCCAAAAUAAUUGCUCUUAGCAAUUGUAGAAAGAAAGAAGCAAAAAUUAAGAAAUUCUUAAAAGAUCAUGAAAAUCUGUUGAAAACAGAUUGUCGAGAAAUUGUAUCUCUAUUUCUCAUACCAAUUUUACUUCGACCAAGUACAGCAAAAGUAAAAUGUAAUGGAAAACACUGGAAACCAAAAUUAGAGGAUUCACAAGAAACGUUCAUU